AAUUAAUUAAUGUUAUUUGCCCUAAAUUUGAUGAAACCAUGGACUUUUGAUGAUCAAUCCCUUCAAACUUUUGCUCUAGCUCUGCUGCUUGCUUAGGAGGAAAUUUCCCGCUACAAUGGCGAAAUUCUUCUGCUUCCAUAGCUGGCAACCGCGGCGCACCACCUGAUUUUCGGCUUCAAGCUCAAAUUCUUCCUCAAUUUCCGGCAAGGAUCAUGGAAAGCACCGGCGGCAGCGAAGCCGAGGCUCAAGCGAAAUGGGUAGAGGUUCAGGAUCUGCUGAAGCAGAGGUUGAUCACGGUGGACGACUUCACAUGGAAGCUGCCCAGACAAGGAGCAGAAGCAGCGGCUGACGGAGCUGAGGAGGAAGGAGAGGUGCUGAAGUAUGUGGGAGGAGUCGACAUGAGCUACUGCAAAGAUGACCCUUCUCUCGCCUGUGGGGCUGUUGUCGUUUUGAACCUUCCCACUCUUGAAGUGGUUCAUGAGGAAUACACUCUGGCCCGUCCUCGUGUCCCCUACAUACCGGGCUUCCUCGCCUUUCGAGAGGCUCCGGUACUUCUAGAACUCUUUGGAAAGGUGAAAGAAAAUGCUCCACAUUUCUACCCACAGUUGCACCAGAUUUUAGUGCAUGCUCAGUUGAUAAUGGUUGAUGGAAAUGGUAUCCUUCAUCCUCGAGGUUUUGGUCUUGCCUGCCAUCUUGGUGUUUUGGCUAAUUGUCCUACAAUUGGAGUCGGAAAAAAUCUACAUCAUGUGGAUGGUCUCACGCUAUCUAGUGUAAAGCAACUUCUUGGAGCCAAGCAGGAUCUUACUAAUCUUGUGACAUUGAUGGGUUCUUCUGGGAUCAUAUGGGGAGCGGGGCUGAGAUCUUCGCCAAUAUCAGUGAAGCCUAUGUUUAUAUCAACUGGACACCGUAUAUCACUUGAUACUGCUGUUGCAAUUGUCCAGAUGACGUGCAAAUACCGUGUUCCAGAGCCAGUAAGACAGAAGAGACCUACAAGGCAUUUGAUGUAACCUUGGCUCAUAAAUAAACAUUAUGGAGGCUGUGACAAGCCCCUCCAGCAGUCAGAUUGUUAAGGCCACAAACAGCUGCACUGUGUUGCCUUUAACUUGAUUGCCUCGUGGCUGUUUUGGUGCCCUUCUAAUUACUGGUGCUAUCUACCAACUCCUUCACUGGCUAUAGAUCAAGCUAAAGGAGUUCUCAGUGCUGCCUAGGAGACGGUUUACAGGCAUUGUCAAUCUGAUGCAAGGCAUGUUGAACACCUUAGAUGACACCACUUUUAAACAUCAAUUUGAGGCGGAGGCUCUGUUAAGGGCACCACCUCUGAUUCAAUUAUCACCUAGAGGGAGCUUGCUGCCUCUAUACAGUGAUCUGAAGGGUCUCAACACCUCGUAUAAGACUCAGUCAAUCUCUGUUGAUCUGCCUCUGAGCAUUGACUUGAGGCAGAUAUAAGAUCACGGGAAUACUUGCGGAAGCACCAAAUCAAGUGUUAGGAGUGUAUGAUCGUGGUAAGUUCAGCUUCACUAUCUAGCGAUCAUCAAUGGCUGGUCGUUAUGGACGUUAGAUGGUCAACAUUGCUGUUA